rnacentral:rRNA from 1 species
GAUGAACGCUGGCGGCGUGCCUAAUACAUGCCAGUCGAGCGAACAGACGAGGAGCUUGCUCCUCUGACGUUAGCGGCGGACGGGUGAGUAACACGUGGAUAACCUACCUAUAAGACUGGGAUAACUUCGGGAAACCGGAGCUAAUACCGGAUAAUAUAUUGAACCGCAUGGUUCAAUAGUGAAAGACGGUUUUGCUGUCAUUUAUAGAUGGAUCCGCGCCGCAUUAGCUAGUUGGUAAGGUAACGGCUUACCAAGGCAACGAUGCGUAGCCGACCUGAGAGGGUGAUCGGCCACACUGGAACUGAGACACGGUCCAGACUCCUACGGGAGGCAGCAGUAGGGAAUCUUCCGCAAUGGGCGAAAGCCUGACGGAGCAACGCCGCGUGAGUGAUGAAGGUCUUCGGAUCGUAAAACUCUGUUAUUAGGGAAGAACAAAUGUGUAAGUAACUAUGCACGUCUUGACGGUACCUAAUCAGAAAGCCACGGCUAACUACGUG